rnacentral:rRNA from 1 species
CCUGGUGACAAUAGCGGAGGGGACACACCCGUACCCAUCUCGAACACGGCAGUUAAGUCCUCCAGCGCCGAUGGUACUGCAGUUUAGCUGUGGGAGAGUAGGACGUUGCCAGGA